rnacentral:lncRNA from 1 species
UGUUGUUGUUGGGUACAAACUCAGGUGAUGCAUUGAUGCUUAGCCAAAAUAAGGUCUUCGUCCAACUAUGCAUGUUUUAGCACCUCGACAUACGAGUUACGUCUCAACAUCGCUACCCAGUCAUUGAAUAUCGGCACAAAGGCCCUUCAAAAACUUGCUAUCUUUGCGACUCUCAUGGGUAACCAUUAAUGGGACAAACCUAAAUAGUUGGAUGAAUUGGGCUGUAUAUUGGGCGACCAUCAAGUUUUCUUAAUAGAGGUCCUGAAAUUCCUCCUUCUUCUCUCGGACAUAGACUGGGAAAAAGUUUUCAAAAAAUUUGUCCAUGAAAACCUCCCAAGUGGUAGAGGAAGGUAGGACUUCCUUUUCAAGCCGCCACCAAUGUUUGACUUCGCCGAUUAGCAUGAAGGCUGUUAGGGAGACUUUCUGUUCCUUGGUUAGUUCUAAGACAGAGAAACAUUUCUCUAUCUGCAGGAUUCAGGCUUUAGCCACUAAAGGGUCGAGGCCUUCUUCGAAGUGGGUGGGUUAAGUUUCCUAAAUUCUACUAUAUUGUAGGAGAUAGACCUCUCGGCUGGUUGGUAGUCAAGGGGAGGAGGAUGUUGGCAAGGGUUGGCUUGGUUUUGUCCUACGAUUGUGAUUAGAUCUUGGAUGGAUC